rnacentral:rRNA from 1 species
UUAGUACGGCGAGUGAAGCGGCAAAAGCUCAAAUUUGAAAUCUGGUACCUUCGGUGCCCGAGUUGUAAUUUGGAGAGGGCAACUUUGGGGCCGUUCCUUGUCUAUGUUCCUUGGAACAGGACGUCAUAGAGGGUGAGAAUCCCGUGUGGCGAGGAGUGCGGUUCUUUGUAAAGUGCCUUCGAAGAGUCGAGUUGUUUGGGAAUGCAGCUCUAAGUGGGUGGUAAAUUCCAUCUAAAGCUAAAUAUUGGCGAGAGACCGAUAGCGAACAAGUACAGUGAUGGAAAGAUGAAAAGAACUUUGAAAAGAGAGUGAAAAAGUACGUGAAAUUGUUGAAAGGGAAGGGCAUUUGAUCAGACAUGGUGUUUUGUGCCCUCUGCUCCUUGUGGGUAGGGGAAUCUCGCAUUUCACUGGGCCAGCAUCAGUUUUGGUGGCAGGAUAAAUCCAUAGGAAUGUAGCUUGCCUCGGUAAGUAUUAUAGCCUGUGGGAAUACUGCCAGCUGGGACUGAGGACUGCGACGUAAGUCAAGGAUGCUGGCAUAAUGGUUAUAUGCCGCCCGUCUUGAACCACGGACCCA